rnacentral:lncRNA from 1 species
GGCGAGGUAGCCAUUGGAGAAGGCAAAGGCGGCCAUGAAGACGAUGAACCAGGCGUCAUGCUUAAAGGUGAAGUGCUGCCGCUGCGCGCCACAAUGGCGUGCCUUCACGUUGCAGAGCAUCAGCAGGGGAACAAACACAAUCCUCGAGGCAACCAGAACUGGCAGCCAGCGGCUAUCCUGGCCAGGCUGCGAGCGAGCACAGGCAAGGCUUCAGCGCGUGUGUCAGUCCUCCCGGUCUCCUGGGGCCCCUGGGGACUUGGAUAAAACCUCUAGGCCUGGGUGCCUUUGGGGGUGCUGAUUGCUAGGGGUGCAGUGGUGCCUAUGAUAUGUCGAGAUGUAUCUUUCCAUCUAGGUGGGAGCCACGACACGCACGCCUCUGCCGGGCUACACGCCAAAGAACUGUACACGUGGGCCAGGGAUGGCUCAAUAGUUAAGAGUCCUGCUCUUGUAGGAGACCCGGGUUUAGUUUCCAGUCCUCACAAGCUCCUCUAACUCCAGCUCCAGGGGAUCUGGUGCCCUCUUCUGGCCUCUGUGGGCAUUGCAUUCACACACACACACACACACACACACACACACACACACACAGAAUUUGAAAGUCUUAGCUGGGUCAGGGUGGCACAUGCACUUGGGAAGCAGGGAGUAAAGAGAUCUGAGUUCCAGGCCAGCCUGGUCAGAAAGGGAAGUGGUAUAAGGUAGAAACAGCAAAAGGAGAAAGAAGGGUGAGGAAGGGUAGGCAGGACACCCCGGGCCCACGUACACUCUUAAGUAUGGCUUUGAUAGACUGGUUUCUGUUGGUGGGUGGAGAGUUGGGGCCUGGCACCCCAAAUUCCUCUCUUCUUCCUUUUG